UGAGGAAUAUUGGUCAAUGGGCGCGAGCCUGAACCAGCCAAGUCGCGUGAGGGAAGACGGCCCUACGGGUUGUAAACCUCUUUUGCCGGGGAGCAACGCUGCGGACGCGUCCGCAGGUGAGAGUACCCGGAGAAAAAGCAUCGGCUAACUCCGUGCCAGCAGCCGCGGUAAUACGGAGGAUGCGAGCGUUAUCCGGAUUUAUUGGGUUUAAAGGGUGCGUAGGCCGGCUGUCAAGUCAGCGGUAAAAAUUCGGGGCUCAACCCCGUAAAGCCGUUGAAACUGGCGGUCUUGAGUAGCGGCGAGGCAUGCGGAAUGCGAGGUGUAGCGGUGAAAUGCAUAGAUAUCACGCAGAACUCCGAUUGCGAAGGCAGCAUGCCAGCCGCCGACUGACGCUGAGGCACGAAAGUGCGGGUAUCGAACAGG
rnacentral:rRNA from 1 species